UAAAACGAUGAAACAAAAUGAAAGUUUACAAACUCAGCUAUUUUUACUGACUAACUUAACCUACUUUAAAAGCAAAAAUGGUAUACUCCAAAUAAAUGCAAAUGGAACUGUAUGGCAAAUAAAUGCAAAUGCAACUAAAGUGGAGUUAGGUGUAUGCUUUUUGCAUAAAAUAAGCUGCUCAUCUUGAUUGGCGGUGUGUUAACAGGUGCAGAGCAAUAUCAGGACAAGGCCGAACAUGUAUUCCUCGAAUCUUUGGAGUUGAGUUGGGUUGAGCUGGAUUGACUAAGGCUGGUAUUGAGACUGGAGCUGAGACGUUGGCAACAGCUCUGGCCAGUAAUAUGUCAGAAUGAAUUUGCCGGCAAUGCUUUACUAAGAACUUGUCAACCCUCAUCACUGUGUUUUCCAUUGAAGCCUUUAUGUCGCCAAUACAUGCCUCAGCUCUAGCUGAGAUUGCUACAUCAUGGGGAUUAUUGAAAAACUGUUGCAUUACAUUUGUCCAGCAAACAAAAUCUUUGGCUAAAUCUAUCAAUCUAUUAGCAAAAUCAGAUAGAGCUUGUGCAAUUGGUACUAUUUGAUCUCCUAUAUGAGUGCACAUUAUGGAUAAAAAAAUGUCACUGGAAUCUCCGUCAGGUCUAUUGAUUUUCAAUGCUAUCGAUGAUGUUGCAUCAAGGGCCACUGCAUUUCCCAACUCGUUCGCGAUAUCAUUGUAAACACUUAUUUGGGAAGGUGACCAAUAUGGAGUUAAAUAAAGGUACAAAAACAAACAAAGCCGACAAAAUUGAUGAACUGUUGAAGAAUGACCGGAAAUGAGCAACGACGACGGAAACCGUUGGAAAGCUUUUGACUCAUAAUGACGAGCAUGGUAUUUCUAUUGGUUCUUUC